rnacentral:rRNA from 1 species
GACGAACGCUGGCGGCGUGCUUAACACAUGCAAGUCGAACGCUGAAGCUUGGUGCUUGCACUGGGUGGAUGAGUGGCGAACGGGUGAGUAAUACGUGAGUAACCUGCCCUUGACUCUGAGAUAAGCCGGGGAAACUGGGUCUAAUACUGGAUACGACAUGCCACUGCAUGGUGGUGUGUGGAAAGGGGUUUAGUGGUUUUGGAUGGGCUCACGGCUUAUCAGCUUGUUGGUGGGGUAAUGGCCUACCAAGGCACGGACGGGUAGCCGGCCUGAGAGGGUGACCGGCCACACUGGGACUGAGAUACGGCCCAGACUCCUACGGGAGGCAGCAGUGGGGAAUAUUGCACAAUGGGCGGAAGCCUGAUGCAGCGACGCCGCGUGAGGGAUGACGGCCUUCGGGUUGUAAACCUCUUUCAGCACGGAAGAAGCGAGAGUGACGGUACGUGCAGAAGAAGCGCCGGCUAACUACGUG